AUUCAACCUGAGAGUUUGAUCCUGGCUCAGAACGAACGCUGGCGGCAUGCCUAACACAUGCAAGUCGAACGAGAAGCUAUCUUCGGAUAGUGGAAAGUGGCGCACGGGUGAGUAACGCGUGGGAACCUGCCCUGAGGUUCGGAAUAACGAUUGGAAACGAUCGCUAAUACCGGAUGAGCCCUGAGGGGGAAAGAUUUAUCGCCUUGGGAGGGGCCCGCGUCCGAUUAGCUUGUUGGUGUGGUAACGGCGCACCAAGGCUUCGAUCGGUAGCUGGUCUGAGAGGAUGAUCAGCCACACUGGGACUGAGACACGGCCCAGACUCCUACGGGAGGCAGCAGUGGGGAAUAUUGG
rnacentral:rRNA from 2 species